rnacentral:misc_RNA from 1 species
GAUGAAGAACGUAGCGAAAUGCGAUACGUAAUGUGAAUUGCAGAAUUCAGUGAAUCAUCGAGUCUUUGAACGCACAUUGCGCCCCCUGGUAUUCCGGGGGGCAUGCCUGUCCGAGCGUCAUUACAACCCUCAAGCUCAGCUUGGUGUUGGGCCCCGCCGCCCCGGCGGGCCCUAAAGUCAGUGGCGGUGCCGUCCGGCUCCGAGCGUAGUAAUUCUUCUCGCUCUGGAGGUCCGGUCGUGUGCUCGCCAGCAACCCCAAUUUUUUUCAGGUUGACCUCGGAUCAGGUAGGGAUACCCGCUGAACUUAAGCAUAUCAAUAAGCGGAGGA